rnacentral:rRNA from 1 species
AUGGAUCUUGGAAUCUUUCUUGUUUGGAGUGUUCUUGUGUUACCUAACCUUGUUUUCUUAAGUUUACUCCUUCAAAAGGCAGCUCAAGAACCACAAGGUAAGAAUAUGCAUCACACUCAUAUGCAUGAUGAUCUCUUACUUUUGCACAUAUUAUUUGCAAGAGGGAUUCAUGAACAUGAAGGUACAUCAUUUAACUAUUUUUUUUGCUUUGAUGCAUAUACCCAAGAUACAUGUAACUCAUUGCCUACUCUGUCGUGCUAUGCAUUCACAUGUUCUUCUAUCCUAUUUUCACAUGACUGCAUACAUGUAGGGGGAGUAUAUGUAUGUUACAUGUUAUUGCAAAGCUUUACUUACUACUCUUCAUAUCAUUUCCUUAAAGUUUUGAUGUAUGUUGUCAUCAAUUGCCAAAAAGGGAGAGACUGA